UUAAGCGACUAAGCGUACACGGUGGAUGCCCUGGCAGUCAGAGGCGAUGAAGGACGUGCUAAUCUGCGAAAAGCGUCGGUAAGGUGAUAUGAACCGUUAUAACCGGCGAUGUCCGAAUGGGGAAACCCAGUGUGAUUCGUCACACUAUCGUUAACUGAAUACAUAGGUUAACGAGGCGAACCGGGGGAACUGAAACAUCUAAGUACCCCGAGGAAAAGAAAUCAACCGAGAUUCCCCCAGUAGCGGCGAGCGAACGGGGAGCAGCCCAGAGUCUGAAUCAGCUUGUGUGUUAGUGGAACGGUCUGGAAAGUCCGACGGUACAGGGUGAUAGUCCCGUACACCAAAAUGCACAGGCUGUGAACUCGAAGAGUAGGGCGGGACACGUGGUAUCCUGUCUGAAUAUGGGGGGACCAUCCUCCAAGGCUAAAUACUCCUGACUGACCGAUAGUGAACCAGUACCGUGAGGGAAAGGCGAAAAGAACCCCGGCGAGGGGAGUGAAAAAGAACCUGAAACCGUGUACGUACAAGCAGUGGGAGCACCUUCGGGUGUGACUGCGUACCUUUUGUAUAAUGGGUCAGCGACUUAUAUUCUGUAGCAAGGUUAACCGUAUAGGGGAGCCGCAGGGAAACCGAGUCUUAACUGGGCGUUAAGUUGCAGGGUAUAGACCCGAAACCCGGUGAUCUAGCCAUGGGCAGGUUGAAGGUUGGGUAACACUAACUGGAGGACCGAACCGACUAAUGUUGAAAAAUUAGCGGAUGACUUGUGGCUGGGGGUGAAAGGCCAAUCAAACCGGGAGAUAGCUGGUUCUCCCCGAAAGCUAUUUAGGUAGCGCCUCGUGAACUCAUCUUCGGGGGUAGAGCACUGUUUCGGCUAGGGGGUCAUCCCGACUUACCAACCCGAUGCAAACUACGAAUACCGAAGAAUGUUAUCACGGGAGACACACGGCGGGUGCUAACGUCCGUCGUGAAGAGGGAAACAACCCAGACCGCCAGCUAAGGUCCCAAAGUCAUGGUUAAGUGGGAAACGAUGUGGGAAGGCACAGACAGCCAGGAUGUUGGCUUAGAAGCAGCCAUCAUUUAAAGAAAGCGUAAUAGCUCACUGGUCGAGUCGGCCUGCGCGGAAGAUGUAACGGGGCUAAACCAUGCACCGAAGCUGCGGCAGCGACACUAUGUGUUGUUGGGUAGGGGAGCGUUCUGUAAGCCUGCGAAGGUGUGCUGUGAGGCAUGCUGGAGGUAUCAGAAGUGCGAAUGCUGACAUAAGUAACGAUAAAGCGGGUGAAAAGCCCGCUCGCCGGAAGACCAAGGGUUCCUGUCCAACGUUAAUCGGGGCAGGGUGAGUCGACCCCUAAGGCGAGGCCGAAAGGCGUAGUCGAUGGGAAACAGGUUAAUAUUCCUGUACUUGGUGUUACUGCGAAGGGGGGACGGAGAAGGCUAUGUUAGCCGGGCGACGGUUGUCCCGGUUUAAGCAUGUAGGCUGGUUGUCCAGGCAAAUCCGGAUAAUCAAGGCUGAGGUGUGAUGACGAGGUACUACGGUGCUGAAGUAACAAAUGCCCUGCUUCCAGGAAAAGCCUCUAAGCAUCAGGUAACAUCAAAUCGUACCCCAAACCGACACAGGUGGUCAGGUAGAGAAUACCAAGGCGCUUGAGAGAACUCGGGUGAAGGAACUAGGCAAAAUGGUGCCGUAACUUCGGGAGAAGGCACGCUGGUGUGUAGGUGAAGUCCCUGCGGAUGGAGCUGAGACCAGUCGAAGAUACCAGCUGGCUGCAACUGUUUAUUAAAAACACAGCACUGUGCAAACACGAAAGUGGACGUAUACGGUGUGACGCCUGCCCGGUGCCGGAAGGUUAAUUGAUGGGGUUAUCCGUAAGGAGAAGCUCUUGAUCGAAGCCCCGGUAAACGGCGGCCGUAACUAUAACGGUCCUAAGGUAGCGAAAUUCCUUGUCGGGUAAGUUCCGACCUGCACGAAUGGCGUAAUGAUGGCCAGGCUGUCUCCACCCGAGACUCAGUGAAAUUGAACUCGCUGUGAAGAUGCAGUGUACCCGCGGCAAGACGGAAAGACCCCGUGAACCUUUACUAUAGCUUGACACUGAACAUUGAGCCUUGAUGUGUAGGAUAGGUGGGAGGCUUUGAAGCGUGGACGCCAGUCUGCGUGGAGCCAACCUUGAAAUACCACCCUUUAAUGUUUGAUGUUCUAACGUUGGCCCCUUACCGGGGUUGCGGACAGUGUCUGGUGGGUAGUUUGACUGGGGCGGUCUCCUCCCAAAGCGUAACGGAGGAGCACGAAGGUUAGCUAAUCCUGGUCGGACAUCAGGAGGUUAGUGCAAUGGCAUAAGCUAGCUUGACUGCGAGCGUGACGGCGCGAGCAGGUGCGAAAGCAGGUCAUAGUGAUCCGGUGGUUCUGAAUGGAAGGGCCAUCGCUCAACGGAUAAAAGGUACUCCGGGGAUAACAGGCUGAUACCGCCCAAGAGUUCAUAUCGACGGCGGUGUUUGGCACCUCGAUGUCGGCUCAUCACAUCCUGGGGCUGAAGUAGGUCCCAAGGGUAUGGCUGUUCGCCAUUUAAAGUGGUACGCGAGCUGGGUUUAGAACGUCGUGAGACAGUUCGGUCCCUAUCUGCCGUGGGCGCUGGAGAAUUGAGGGGGGCUGCUCCUAGUACGAGAGGACCGGAGUGGACGCAUCACUGGUGUUCGGGUUGUCAUGCCAAUGGCACUGCCCGGUAGCUAAAUGCGGAAGAGAUAAGUGCUGAAAGCAUCUAAGCACGAAACUUGCCCCGAGAUGAGUUCUCCCUGAGACUUUAAGUCUCCUGAAGGAACGUU
rnacentral:rRNA from 1 species